rnacentral:rRNA from 1 species
UGGGUGAGGCGUGAUGCGUAGACCUUUGUGGUUGAUGUUGGUGAUCCUGUACUGUCGAGAAAAGCCUCUAGCGAGUGCAUAUAUGGCCCGUACCCAUAACCGACACAGGUGGUCAGGUAGAGAAUACUAAGGCGAUCGGGUGAACUGUGGUUAAGGAACUCGGCAAAUUGCCCCCGUAACUUCGGGAGAAGGGGGACCAUUGCUGGUGACCGACGUGGUUGAGCUGGUGGUGGUCGCAGAGAAUAGAGGGAAGCGACUGUUUAUUAAAAACACAGGUCCGUGCGAAAACGUGGAAGUUGAUGUAUACGGACUGACGCCUGCCCGGUGCUGGAAGGUUAAGAGGACCUGUUAGGGCAUUUUUUGUCCGAAGCGGAGAAUUUAAGCCCCAGUAAACGGCGGUGGUAACUAUAACCAUCCUAAGGUAGCGAAAUUCCUUGUCGGGUAAGUUCCGACCUGCACGAAUGGCGUAACGACUUCCCUGCUGUCUCAACCACAGGCCCGGUGAAAUUGCAGUACGAGUAAAGAUGCUCGUUACGCGCGGCAGGACGAAAAGACCCCGGGACCUUCACUAUAGCUUGGUAUUGGUGUUUGGUUCGGUUUGUGUAGGAUAGGUGGGAGACUGUGAAGUGGUCACGCUAGUGGUUGUGGAGUCGAAAGUUGAAAUACCACUCUGAUCGGAUUGAGCACCU